rnacentral:rRNA from 1 species
ACGCGGGAAAUCUUACCGGGUCCGGACACACUGAGGAUUGACAGGUAUUAUAUAGCGCGCUUGCGCGUCUAUUGUUAAAUAUGCUAGUCCUUUCAUGAUUAUGUGAUAGGUGGUGCAUGGCCGUUCUUAGUUCGUGGAGUGAUCUGUCUGCUUAAUUGCGUUUCAGAUAAGGAUCUAUAUUCUUUACAGAAGUGUUGCGUAGUGCAUUUGACCCCUCGUUCGCGAGGCGUGUCUUUUCGCGCUCGCACGCUUUUUACAUUAGGUCCUGAAAGCAACGAACGUGACCGCAACCCUUGUUGCCUCAUCUCCCUACUUUUU